UUGAGCGGCUCGGCGCCGGCGGGCCCGGCCCGGCUCGCCGCGUUCGCUCUGCUGACCUGCAGCCUGUGGCCGGCGCGGGCGGACAACGCGAGCCAGGAGUACUACACUGCGCUUAUCAACGUGACGGUGCAGGAGCCCGGCCGCGGCGCCCCGCUUACAUUCCGCAUCGACGGCGGGCGCUACGGACUCGACUCGCCCAAGGCCGAGGUCCGCGGCCAGGUUCUGGCGCCGCUGCCUAUCCAUGGAGUUGCUGAUCAUCUGGGCUGUGAUCCUCAAACACGGUUCUUUGUCCCUCCUAACAUCAAACAGUGGAUUGCCUUGCUGCAGAGGGGAAAUUGCACCUUUAAAGAGAAAAUAUCAAGGGCUGCUUUCCACAAUGCAGUUGCUGUCGUCAUCUACAAUAAUAAAUCCAAAGAGGAGCCAGUCACCAUGACUCAUCCAGGCACUGGAGAUAUUAUUGCGGUCAUGAUUACAGAAUUGAGAGGUAAAGAUAUUUUGAGUUAUCUGGAGAAAAACAUCUCUGUACAAAUGACAAUAGCUGUUGGAACUCGAAUGCCGCCAAAGAACUUCAGCCGUGGUUCUCUAGUCUUCGUGUCAAUAACCUAUAUUGCUUUGAUGAUUAUUUCUUCAGCCUGGCUUAUAUUCUGCUUCAUUCAGAAGAUCAGGUACACAAAUGCCCGGGACAGGAGCCAGCGUCGUCUUGGAGAUGCAGCCAAGAAAGCCAUCAGCAAAUUGACAACCAGAACAGUGAAAAGGGGUGAUAAGGAAACAGACCCAGACUUCGAUCAUUGUACAGUCUGCAUAGAAAGCUAUAAACAGAAUGAUGUUGUCCGGAUUCUGCCCUGCAAGUGCUUGCACGGCACCAAGAGGCCGCAGAGCUGUGAAAACAACUCGCCUUCAAUGUAGACGGCUCACCCCACCCCCAGCCAUUGUUCUGAUCAGUCUAGCUCACAGUGUGUUGGGAAGUAGGAGAGUGGGAAGGCAUUGUUUCAGUGUUACUGGUUUUGUUCCCUUUUAUGUUCUAUACUUCCACAUAUCCCCAAGUAUUUCUGUAUCCCAAAAUAUUUCUAAUAGGAAUAAAGGACUUUUCUGAAGUUCUGGAAAAAAAAAAUCUUUCAUUAGAUUUGUCUAAUUGUAACAAAGUGCUGUGUCUUUUAGAACUUUCAAACAGAAAAACCUCUGUGUGCACUAGGGGUUAUAAUUCUACGGCUUUCAAACCACAGACAAGCUCUCCAAGGCUCCUUUUCAGGAGCUGAAGGUCAGCUCGCCUAAGUAGAAUCUUCUAAAUAAAUCAUGACUCAUCAAUCAGCCCAUCCAUUUAUACAGCUCCUAUUGGGCAUGGAAAGUGGUCUGGGAGAGCAAGUGUAUGACCAGGGGGCAUAUUGUUAGGCUCUUCUCCGGUUACACUGUCUUCUCUAAUAAAAGAAAGAUAAAGGAAGAAAAAGAUACUCAAAAAUGCCUGUGUCUCAGAUGUACAGAACAGAC